CUAUAUAAAAGUUCAUCCCUUCUGACUGUAUUCCCUGCAGCAACAGCUUGCAUCCUGAAACAGGAGAAGACGUCAGCUACAGAGGUUCAAUCAAACAUCUCCACCAAGAGAGUUUUUUUUUAUCAGGCAGUCCGACCCUGUGAGCAACAAGAGUGAAGAUGGCUGGUCUGUGUGGGAUGGCUGUGAUGCUGGCCUUCAGCAUGUCCAUUGGAAACAGCUUGGCUGUGGAUGUGACUUGGGUCACAAAUCAUGCAGGCAUCCUGAACCAGAUCCGCAUGGAAAACGUGCAGGUCUGUUUGGCUGUAAACUUCCCAGUGGACGACAAAAAGCUCGAGGAGGAAAUGAAAGAGACUCCCUAUGUGAUAACAGGGUAUAGAGGAGGUGAUGUGUACAAAGGGACCAAUGUGGUUGCAGCAGUGCCUCAAGAAAAUACAUCACCAUCUGGAAAGACAUACACUGAACAUGCAGAGGCACGUGUUCUGGACAAUAUAAAACCUUUAGUUGACAACAGUAAGGAUCAUAUUCUGGUCCUCUAUUCUUACCUUUCUCCAUGUGGUCAAAAGUGUACCAGCACAGAUCCUAAACACAAACACACCAAUAUCUUGGACAAGAUUGUUUACUAAAGUAUUCGAUGGGUACGGUGAUAUUAAAGAGACCUUUAAUAAGCUUGCAGGGACUCAAAUUGGUCAGAACAUAUUCCGUUGUUACUUCUCACAUAAAGGUCCCAGUUGCAUCAAGUGCUUCAACAAUGGAGUACUUUCAGACGAGUGUGUUCAUAACUAGGCCUAGAUGUGUCAAAGCCACAACAGGGACUGUGGUAGAGUUUCCAUGGAGGAGAGGAGAUCUGGGGACCACAGUGAUUCAGGUUCAAGUGGAAUUUUAAACAAGUUAUUUGCUUAAAAAUGCACUUUCCUCUAUAAAACUACAAGCUAUGUCACUGCUGCUGAGGACCCACACACACUUCAGAUGUGUUCUUUGGUCCAAACCAUUCACCAGCAGAGCUUACAUUUCCUUGCACACAUACUGUUGAGGUGUAUGGUCAUUGUUUACCUGAGUGUUGACUGAUCUGGGGGUUGUUUCAUGGAACUGAUGGGAAUCAUGUUAUGUACUCAUGGCAGUUUGGUCUGAAGAGGACAGAGACUCAUAUUUUCAGGAGUCUCAGUGUGGUUUUAGGUUCAGAGGCAUUUUCUGCCCUGUCCAAAUUAAUCGAAACUGAACUAACUGAAAUACAGUAGACUGUGCUUCAGAGUUUAAACAGCCACACAAUAAAAUGACUAACUGUAUUCAGUUUGAGUUUUGCUGAUAUAAACAAAACAACUUGACAAGAUAAAAAGGGAAAAUUGAGAUUUGGUAGAAAAGUAGUCUGACUCCAUGAAACCUUAACAGUUACUGUAACUCUGAGAAUAAAGCAAAAACAUAUUGUACCCUAUUUCAAAAGUCAAAAGUAAUAUUUUGCGUUGACUUGAUUACAUGUUAAAUAAUAAUAACAAUAAUAAUAAUAAUAAUAAUAGUGAAUAUGGAUGUUUAAUGUAUAUCAACCUCAGGAUUUUCAGGACGCAUGUCAUUGUACUCAAUACUUGUGUAAAGCAUUACCAAACCCUCUGAUGUUCUGCUCUUUCUGAUUAAAGCCUGGCUCAGCAUUGA